UGCUCAGCCUGUUAAUAUUAGGCCCUAAAAUAACCACAUCACCAAAAUGCAGAGAUUGAAAAGUCAUUAGUAGAUAUGCUUUCUGCCACCAUAAUCCAACCUAGUAACAGCCCAUAUUCUUCUUCUGUUUUAUUGGUCAUGAAGAAGGAUAGAAAAAGGAGGUUUUGUAUUGACUAUAGGAAACUUAAUGACUUGAUAGUUAAAGA
rnacentral:misc_RNA from 1 species